GAUGAAGAACGCAGUGAAAUGCGAUAAGUAAUGCGAAUUGCAGAAUUCCAGUGAGUCAUCGAAUCUUUGAACGCACAUUGCGCCCUUUGGUAUUCCGAAGGGCAUGCCUGUUCGAGCGUCAUUAUCACCCCUCAAGCCCCCGGCUUGGUGUUGGACGGUUUGGCGGAGGCCCUCCGGGGCCCUUGCCCCUCCCAAAGACAAUGACGGCGGCCUCGUUGGACCCCCGGUACACUGAGUUCUUCACGGGACACGUACUGGAGUAAGGGUGCGCGGGGCACGGUCUGCCUCCCCUCAGGGAGAAUCUUCUUUUACAAGGUUGACCUCGGAUCAGGUAGGGAUACCCGCUGAACUUAAGCAUAUCAAUAAGCGGAGGA
rnacentral:misc_RNA from 1 species